UACGAAGGGGGCUAGCGUUGUUCGGAUUUACUGGGCGUAAAGCGCACGUAGGCGGAUAUUUAAGUCAGGGGUGAAAGCCCAGGGCUCAACCCUGGAACUGCCUUUGAUACUGGAUAUCUCGAGUAUGGAAGAGGUGAGUGGAAUUCCGAGUGUAGAGGUCAAAUUCGUAGAUAUUCGGAGGAACACCAGUGGCGAAGGCGGCUCACUGGUCCAUUACUGACGCUGAGGUGCGAAAGCGUGGGUAGCAUACA
rnacentral:rRNA from 1 species